GGCAUGCCUAACACAUGCAAGUCGAACGCUUCGGGGUUAGUGGCGCACGGGUGCGUAACGCGUGGGAAUCUGCCCUUGGGUUCGGAAUAACUCGCCGAAAGGCGUGCUAAUACCGGAUGAUGUCGUAAGACCAAAGAUUUAUCGCCCAAGGAUGAGCCCGCGUAAGAUUAGCUAGUUGGUGGGGUAAAGGCCCACCAAGGCGACGAUCUUUAGCUGGUCUGAGAGGAUGAUCAGCCACACUGGGACUGAGACACGGCCCAGACUCCUACGGGAGGCAGCAGUGGGGAAUAUUGGACAAUGGGCGAAAGCCUGAUCCAGCAAUGCCGCGUGAGUGAUGAAGGCCUUAGGGUUGUAAAGCUCUUUUACCCGGGAUGAUA
rnacentral:rRNA from 1 species